UAUUGGUCAAUGGGCGGGAGCCUGAACCAGCCAAGUCGCGUGAGGGAGUAAGGCCCUACGGGUCGUAAACCUCUUUUGCCGGGGAGCAGNGCGGCGGACGUGUCCGCCGUUUGAGAGUACCCGGAGAAAAAGCAUCGGCUAACUCCGUGCCAGCAGCCGCGGUAAUACGGAGGAUGCGAGCGUUAUCCGGAUUUAUUGGGUUUAAGGGGUGCGUAGGCGGGCUGUUAAGUCAGCGGUCAAAUGUCGGGGCUCAACCCCGGCCUGCCGUUGAAACUGGCGGCCUCGAAUGGGCGAGAAGUACGCGGAAUGCGCGGUGUAGCGGUGAAAUGCAUAGAUAUCGCGCAGAACUCCGAUUGCGAAGGCAGCGUACCGGCGCCGCACUGACGCUGAGGCACGAAAGCGUGGGUAUCGAACAGG
rnacentral:rRNA from 1 species